rnacentral:rRNA from 1 species
UACAGGGGGUGCAAACGUUGCUCGGAAUCAUUGGGCGUAAAGCGCACGUAGGCGGUUCGUUAUGUCGGAUGUGAAAGCCCUUGGCUUAACCGAGGAAGUGCAUCCGAAACUGGCGAGCUAGAGUACUAAAGAGGAUCGCGGAAUUCCCGGUGUAGAGGUGAAAUUCGUAGAUAUCGGGAGGAACACCUGUGGCGAAAGCGGCUCACUGGACCACAACUGACGCUGAGGCGCGAAAGCUAGGGGAGCAACAGG